rnacentral:snRNA from 1 species
AUACUUACCUUAAGAUGUCAGGGGAGAUCACUAAGUCCCAUUGGCCGGAUAUGCGCUUUCAUGUAAUUUUUAAUUACGAUAGAGAUGCUAGGCAUUUACCAGAACUUAUCUUAACUUACGUUUAGUUUGGAGGGUUAGGUUCUGUUAUUUUUGAUGUAAGUUCUCUAGCAGAUUCACGCACAAACUGUAGCGAAAGGUGUAUUUGCCGACGUUUCGUUCCCUCAUCUCAAUUUAGGAUCGUAUUUUUUUGUAGUUUUUAUUCUUGUUGUUUGUUCCAUUUAUUUGGAGUGAGCAACUUGAUGGAAUUUCAAGAAGAUAUUUGAAUCUUUAUUGAGGUCCUUUUUUCUUCUGCCUGGAGAAGUAUGGCACUGAGUACAAAUCAGUGCUGGGGGAGUUGGGGCCCUUCAAAUUGUACCUAAAUUGAUUCUUUGCAUAUUGAAAUGGUUCUUCCAAUUAUGGUAAAUUUACCUUCUAUUAUUGAUUCCUCAAGCAUUGUGGACUGUACUUGUCUUCGGAUGAGCAUUGUCUAUGGUAACUUGAGAGAAGGUUUAAUGAUGUAAGGCUAUCUUUAUCUGGUAUGUAUCAUUUCUUUGUGACAUGUUAUUUAAAUUCGUUUGGAUGACAAGAUGAUAUCUAAUGGUGCAUGUAUUUUGAAGGUUCUUGAUAGGAACGGGCGGGUCUUAUAAUUUUUGAUUUAUUUU